CCGAGUUUACAAGCUCCCAAACCCCAUGUGAACGCUACCAAACUGUUGCCUCGGCGGGAUCUCUGCCCCGGGCGCGUCGCAGCCCCGGACCAAGGCGCCCGCCGGAGGGGAAAAAAAAAACCAAAACUCCUUUGCAUACCCCCUCGCGGGUUUUCUUACUUCUGAGACUUUCUCGGCGCUCCCAGCGGGCGUUCCGAAAAUAAAUCA
rnacentral:misc_RNA from 1 species